rnacentral:rRNA from 1 species
AAAAUUGCAAACACCCUAAACCUUGUGAACGUUACCCUUAACCGUUGCUUCGGCGGGCGGCGCCAUGCCGCCCCUCGGCCCUUCCCGGGCGCCCGCCGGAGGAUACCCAACUCUUGAUAUUUUAUGGCCACUCUGAGUCUUCUGUACUGAAUAAGUCAAAACUUUCAACAACGGAUCUCUUGGUUCUGGCAUCGAUGAAGAACGCAGCGAAAUGCGAUAAGUAAUGUGAAUUGCAGAAUUCAGUGAAUCAUCGAAUCUUUGAACGCACAUUGCGCCCGCCAGUAUUCUGGCGGGCAUGCCUGUUCGAGCGUCAUUUCAACCAUCAAGCCCCCGGCUUGUGUUGGGGACCUGCGGCUGCCCGCAGGCCCUGAAAAACAGUGGCGGGCUCGCUGUCACACCGAGCGUAGUAACAUCAUUCUCGCUCAGGGCGUGCUGCGGGUUCCGGCCGUUAAACGACCUUCAUAACCCAAGGUUGACCUCGGAUCAGGUAGGAAGACCCGCUGAACUUAAACCAUAUCAAUAAGGCGGAGGGAA